rnacentral:rRNA from 1 species
AUACGUAGGUGGCAAGCGUUGUCCGGAAUUAUUGGGCGUAAAGCGCGCGCAGGCGGUCCUUUAAGUCUGAUGUGAAAGCCCACGGCUCAACCGUGGAGGGUCAUUGGAAACUGGGGGACUUGAGUGCAGAAGAGGACAGUGGAAUUCCACGUGUAGUGGUGAAAUGCGUAGAGAUGUGGAGGAACACCAGUGGCGAAGGCGACUUUCUGGUCUGUAACUGACGCUGAGGCGCGAAAGCGUGGGGAGCAAACAGGAUGAGAUACCCUGGUAGUCCACGCCGUAAACGAUGAGUGCUAAGUGUUAGGGGGUUUCCGCCCCUUAGUGCUGCAGCUAACGCAUUAAGCACUCCGCCUGGGGAGUACGGCCGCAAGGCUGAA